GGUAGUGUAUUGGCAGUCCAUGACAUGGGUUCAAUUCCCAUCACUACCA
rnacentral:tRNA from 1 species